rnacentral:rRNA from 1 species
GAUGAACGCUGGCGGCGUGCCUAAUACAUGCAAGUCGAGCGAACAGAUAAGGAGCUUGCUCCUUUGACGUUAGCGGCGGGCGGGUGAGUAACACGUGGGUAACCUACCUAUAAGACUGGAAUAACUCCGGGAAACCGGGGCUAAUGCCGGAUAACAUUUAGAACCGCAUGGUUCUAAAGUGAAAGAUGGUUUUGCUAUCACUUAUAGAUGGACCCGCGCCGUAUUAGCUAGUUGGUAAGGUAACGGCUUACCAAGGCAACGAUACGUGGCCGACCUGAGAGGGUGAUCGGCCACACUGGAACUGAGACACGGUCCAGACUCCUACGGGAGGCAGCAGUAGGGAAUCUUCCGCAAUGGGCGAAAGCCUGACGGAGCAACGCCGCGUGAGUGAUGAAGGUCUUCGGAUCGUAAAACUCUGUUAUUAGGGAAGAACAAAUGUGUAAGUAACUGUGCACGUCUUGACGGUACCUAAUCAGAAAGCCACGGCUAACUACGUG